GUCGAGCGGCAGCACGGGUACUUGUACCUGGUGGCGAGCGGCGGACGGGUGAGUAAUGCCUAGGAAUCUGCCUGGUAGUGGGGGAUAACGCUCGGAAACGGACGCUAAUACCGCAUACGUCCUACGGGAGAAAGCAGGGGACCUUCGGGCCUUGCGCUAUCAGAUGAGCCUAGGUCGGAUUAGCUAGUUGGUGAGGUAAUGGCUCACCAAGGCGACGAUCCGUAACUGGUCUGAGAGGAUGAUCAGUCACACUGGAACUGAGACACGGUCCAGACUCCUACGGGAGGCAGCAGUGGGGAAUAUUGGACAAUGGGCGAAAGCCUGAUCCAGCCAUGCCGCGUGUGUGAAGAAGGUCUUCGGAUUGUAAAGCACUUUAAGUUGGGAGGAAGGGCAUUUACCUAAUACGUAAGUGUUUUGACGUUACCGACAGAAUAAGCACCGGCUAACUCUGUGCCAGCAGCCGCGGUAAUACAGAGGGUGCAAGCGUUAAUCGGAAUUACUGGGCGUAAAGCGCGCGUAGGUGGUUUGUUAAGUUGAAUGUGAAAUCCCCGGGCUCAACCUGGGAACUGCAUCCAAAACUGGCAAGCUAGAGUAUGGUAGAGGGUGGUGGAAUU
rnacentral:rRNA from 1 species